AGACGAUGUGCCUGGUGCUUAGAACACAUUAUCUCAUUUAGCCCCACAAUGAUCCUGAGAGGUAGCUACUGUCUAUCUCCAGCUCACAGAGGAACUUCCUUCUUCCUUCCAGCCUGCCACACGUGCCAUCAUGUGAAGGUGUCAUGUUUGGAUUGUGACAGCCAUCUGUGCCCACCAAAAACAGCCAAGAGACGUACACAGAAAAGCCUGGACAUCACCGAAGGGCUGAAAGAACCCAGAGAGGAGCCACCCAACUCUAGACUUGUGAGGAGAGAUGAUGAAUCCUAUAAUUUAAGCAA